rnacentral:tRNA from 2 species
GGGCCCUUGGCCUAGCCAGGAUUGGUCUCCUGAAAGGGCGCAGGCCUGCGGAGCCUGUGAUCGCGGGUUCAAAUCCUGCAGGGCCCGCCA